rnacentral:rRNA from 1 species
UACGGGAGGCAGCAGUGGGGAAUAUUGGACAAUGGGCGCAAGCCUGAUCCAGCCAUGCCGCGUGAGUNAUGAAGGCCCUAGGGUUGUAAAGCUCUUUCACCGGUGAAGAUAAUGACGGUAACCGGAGAAGAAGCCCCGGCUAACUUCGUGCCAGCAGCCGCGGUAAUACGAAGGGGGCUAGCGUUGUUCGGAUUUACUGGGCGUAAAGCGCACGUAGGCGGAUUUUUAAGUCAGGGGUGAAAUCCCGGGGCUCAACCCCGGAACUGCCUUUGAUACUGGAAGUCUUGAGUAUGGUAGAGGUGAGUGGAAUUCCGAGUGUAGAGGUGAAAUUCGUAGAUAUUCGGAGGAACACCAGUGGCGAAGGCGGCUCNCUGGNCCAUUACUGACGCUGAGGUGCGAAAGCGUGGGGAGCAAACAGCGAUUAGAUAACCCUGAGUAGUACCACGCCGNAAACNAUGAAUGUUAGCCGAAGGGGAGUUNACU